CUGUGGUGCAUUGUAGUUGCAUUGCAUGUCUGGCAGUCACUGUGCAAUGUUUCUGCAGUGCAGUACAG
rnacentral:pre_miRNA from 1 species